rnacentral:rRNA from 1 species
UACCCCAAACCGACACAGGUGGUCAGGUAGAGAAUACCAAGGCGCUUGAGAGAACUCGGGUGAAGGAACUAGGCAAAAUGGUGCCGUAACUUCGGGAGAAGGCACGCUGAUAUGUAGGUGAAGCGACUUGCUCGUGGAGCUGAAAUCAGUCGAAGAUACCAGCUGGCUGCAACUGUUUAUUAAAAACACAGCACUGUGCAAACACGAAAGUGGACGUAUACGGUGUGACGCCUGCCCGGUGCCGGAAGGUUAAUU